AGAUUAAGCCAUGCAUGUGUAAGUCUAAAUAGUUUUAGUGUGAAACUGCGAAUGGCUCAUUAUAGAAAAGAAAGUUUAUUUGGAAUAAUUUGUAUAUGGAUAACCGUAGUAAUUCUAGGGCUAAUACAUGUGUUUUCUUUGUUGGGUAACCAGUAAAGAAGUACUUAUUAGACAUAAAACCAUUCCCUUAAUGGUGAGUAAUAAUAAUUGUUUGACUUUAUCCCAUGCUUUUUUGUACUAACGAUGUUCCUUUCAAGUUUCUGCCCUAUCACCUUUCGAUGGUAGUGUAUUGGACUACCAUGGCAUUAACGGGUAACGAAAAAUUUGGGUUCCAUUUCCGAAAGGGAACCUGAAAUAUGGCUACCACCUCUCAGGAAGGCAGCAGGCGCGUAAAUUACCCAAUCCUGACCCAGGGAGGUAGUGACCAUAAAUCUCAAUACAAAGCCUUUGGUUUUUUUAUUGAAUUGAAAACAAUGCACAAUCCUUUUCGAUAAACCAUUGGAGGGCAAGUCUGGUGCCACCACCCCGGGUAAUUCACGCUCCUAUAGCGUAUUUUAACGUUGUUGCAUUUAAAAA
rnacentral:rRNA from 1 species